GAUGAAGAACGUAGCGAAAUGUGAUACUUGGUGUGAAUUGCAGAAUCCCGUGAACCAUCGAGUCUUUGAACGCAAGUUGCGCCCGAAGCCUCGGCUAAGGGCACGUCUGCCUGGGCGUCACGCAUCGCGUCUCCCCCAAACCGCCAAGGCGGAGGGGAAGGAAGAUGGCUUCCCGUGCCUCACCCGGCGCGGUUGGCCUAAAUUUGGAGCCCGCGGCACUUAGCUCACGCGGCGAUAGGUGGUGAACAAGGCCUUGGCCGUGCAAACAACCCGCUGCGAAGCUCUAUGUCACGUGCGCUCGUCGGACCCUUUGAAGUUGCCUUCGGUGACUUAAAACCUUUGCGACCCCAGGUCAGGCGGGGCUACCCGCUGAAUUUAAGCAUAUCAAUAAGCGGAGGA
rnacentral:misc_RNA from 1 species